rnacentral:rRNA from 1 species
AGAGUUUGAUCAUGGCUCAGGAUGAACGCUGGCGGCGUGCCUAAUACAUGCAAGUCGAACGAGGUGCUUUUGUAGCAACACGAGAGUAUCCUAGUGGCGAACGGGUGAGUAACGCGUUGGUGACCUACCCCAAGGUGUGGGAUAACAGUUCGAAAGGACUGCUAAUACCGCAUGUGGUUAUUGGACUUAGAAACUAGUAACUAAAGGAGCAAUUCGCUUUGGGAGGGACCUGCGUCCCAUCAGCUAGUUGGUGAGGUAAUGGCUCACCAAGGCGACGACGGGUAGGGGACCUGAGAGGGUGGCCCCCCACAAUGGAACUGAAACACGGUCCAUACACCUACGGGUGGCAGCAGUAGGGAAUAUUGCUCAAUGGGCGAAAGCCUGAAGCAGCAACGCCGCGUGUGUGAUGAAGGCCUUCGGGUCGUAAAGCACUUUUCUGGGAGAUGAGAAAGGACAGUAUCCCAGGAAUAAGUCUCGGCUAACUACGUGCCAGCAGCCGCGGUAAAACGUAGGAGGCGAGCGUUAUCCGGAUUCACUGGGCGUAAAGCGCGUGCAGGUGGCGUGGUAAGUUAGGCGUGAAAGCUCCCGGCUCAACUGGGAGAGGUCGUCUAAUACUACCGUGCUUGAGAGCAGAAGAGGAAGAUGGAAUUUCCCGGUGUAGUGGUGAAAUGCGUAGAUAUCGGGGAGGAACACCAGUGGCGAAGGCGAUCUUCUGGUCUGUUUCUGACACUCAGACGCGACAGCUAGGGUAGUAAACGGGAUUAGAGACCCCGGUAAUCCUAGCCGUAAACGAUGUGAACUUGGGCGUUGGUGGGGUUAAACUCCAUCAGUGCCCGCAGCAAACGCGAUAAGUUUCACCGCCUGGGGGACUACGGCCGCAAGGUUAAUACUCAAAGGAAUUGACGGGGGCCCGCACAAGCAGCGGAGCGUGUGGAUAUUAAUUCGAUGCUACACGAAGAACCUUACCCAGGCUUGACAUACAGGUGGUAGGGAUCCGAAAGGUGACCGACCCGCAAGGGAGCCUGUACAGGUGUUGCAUGGCUGUCGUCAGCUCGUGUCGUGAGAUGUUCGGUUAAGUCCGCUAACGAGCGCAACCCUCGCUGCGUGUUACAAGUGUCACGCAGGACCGCCGGUAUUAAGCCGGAGGAAGGUGGGGAUGACGUCAAGUCAGCAUGGCCUUUAUGCCUGGGGCUACACACACGCUACAAUGGGCAGUACAAUGGGUUGCUAAGCCGCGAGGUGGAGCCAAUCCCCCAAAACUGUCCUCAGUUCAGAUUGCAGGCUGCAACUCGCCUGCAUGAAGCCGGAGUUGCUAGUAAACGCGCGUCAGCUAUAGUGCGUUGAAUACGUUCUCGGGCCUUGUACACACCGCCCGUCACGUCAUGGGAGCUGGUAACACCUGAAGCCGGUAGCCUAACCGCAAGGAGGGCGCCGUCGAAGGUGGGGCUGGUGACUGGGACGAAGUCGUAA